UUAGGCCUGAGCAUGGAGGGGUGGGUGGGUGGGACGGGACGUAGAAAAUUGGGGUUUCAGGGUGGAGAGAGCUGGAGGCCCUCAAGUCCGGAAAAGCAGGGUGGGGGUGUUCUGGGCCUUCUGCCCCAAGAGUCCCCUCUUGUUGGCGCGCACCCCCAAGCACAGACCCCGUUUGCCCUCUGACAAGCUAGUGAAUAAGGUCCAGGAGAGGAAGAAAUUGAAGCAAGGAAAAGGUGAGACGGGGAGUGGUUUUGAGGGGGGCGGGGGGUGUCAGUCGCUGGGAGCCAGGAAGGGCUUCACUCCCAGGGCAGUGAGUAUGGCCCAUAGGGGAGGGGAGAUAAUCACAGGUCCCCGCAAAGAAGGCCAAGCCCCUCUUGCAGGAAUGAGGAGCCCCCUGAGUGGACUGUCUGUCAAGGGCCAGGAAAACCUUGGGGCCUGAGACCUCAGCCAAAGUGAGAAAAGACCCCCAGGAAUUUCCUGACUGAGAGGGGCUUCUGAAAGUGCCACAGAGCUGAGCCCUGGGGGCGGCCCUGGGGAGCAGAAAGGUCUUGCUGGGGUGGUCUUGCAAAGGUCUUGCAGAAACUGCACGUGACUUGAGCACAAAAACCACAGGUUCUGGAAAUGCAAAGUGUGUGCAGGCUGGGCUGCUUGGAGGAUGCAGUGCAGUGACCGAGAAGCAGGAAGACGGAGCUGCUGCGGCCCCCUGAGGAGUGUCUGUCCAGGAACAGGAGCCAUCCAAGAAUGAGCAGAGGGCACGCCGGGGGAGGAGCCAGCCGCCCCCUCCGUCCGUCCUCCAAAAGCAGGAAGGCUGCGGGACCCAGCAGCGGGCACAGGAGGAAAGGGGGGUGGGGGCCCAGCCUGCCCCGGCGCUGCCAGCAAUCUCGCUGCCCUUCCCCAGGCCGCCUUGCCCCUCCCCCCAGUUCUUUAAAAGCUGUUAGUUUUUUCUCAAUAAAGUUCGUGGUAUAAAACCCAA